GAGGUUUGGAACUUUUGUUGUCUCCAUUUUCCUCUCCAGUAUAAAGAUCUUCAUUAGUACGUAAACCGAUUGUAUACAAUUGUUGUUGCUAUCUGUUCCAAUAACGAAUCAACUGAAUAACUAAAUAAAAUAGAUAGACCUUUCUCUUCGUCUCAGGUCGAUAGAUCUUCUCAAUUGGAAGAUCCCCUAUAUGGAUAAUACACAUUCCAGAGAAAAUAGCGAUUUUAUAGUGGAGUCCACCAAUUUAGGGAGUCUUAUGAAGUUUUACUAAAUUAAGUGACAAAAAAUUAAAACGAUGCCCAUGUACCAUGAAAAUGAGUUUAAUAUACAUUAAUACAAAUGUAGAAUGUGUUUAGAAAUUUAAAAAAUAACCCCAAAGAUCAUUUUUUUUUUGACAGCAAGACAUUCACAGACUCAUGUUGACUCUGUAAACCAAAUCGGUAACUCGGCAUCCAUAUGAACGACGAAAGACGGUUGUUUCCUAGCACUAUGUGCCAAGCUAUCCGCCCUUUGGUUCUCCGUUCGGGGUACAUGGAUGAUGUCUGAGUUGAGGAAACUUCUUCGUAAAAGCUUGAUAUCUUCCAGGUAGCUUUCAAAUGCUGGCCAUUCUUCUGGUUCCGAAACCAUCUUCACCAAUUGAGAACAAUCCCUUGCAAACGUAACCUGAAACUGUCGUAAGUUCUUCAUACAUUCCACUGCCCAAAUCAACGCCUCCACCCCAAAGAUCAUAUGCUUCAUUAUUAGAGCAUUUACCGAAAAAUUCAGUAUUUUCGUAGGGGUUAUCCCAUAGAUUUUGAGAAAAAUUCAAAAAUAUGAAAAAUCUGUUUUAAUGCAUAAUUGCAUCCUUUACUAACAUAUGAUGAAGGUCAAAGAGGUUUGGAACCUUUUUUGUCUCCGUUUUUCUAGAGAAUAGCGAUUUUAUAGUAAUUAGUCCACCAAUUUAGGGAGUAUUAUAAAGUUUUACUAAAUUAAGUGACAAAAAAUUAAAACGAUGCCCAUGUACCAUGAAAAUGAAGUUUAAUAUACAUUAAUACAAAUGUAGAAUGUGUUUGGAAAUUUGAAAACAACCCCAAAGAUCAUAUGCUUCAUUAUUAGAGCAUUUACCGAAAAAUUCAGUAUUUUCGUAGGAGUUAUCCCAUAGAUUUUGAGAAAAAUUCAAAAAUAUGAAAAAUCUGUUUUAAUGCAUAGUUGCAUCCUUAACUAACAUAUGAUGAAGGUGAAAGAGGUAUGGAACCUUUUUUUGUCUUCGUUUUUCUAGAGAUUUUAUAGUGGUUAGUCCACCAAUUUAUUGAGUAUUAUGAAGUUUUACUAAAUUAAGUGACAAAAAUUAAAACGAUGCCCAUGUACCAUGAUAAUGAGUUUAAUAUACAUUAAUACAAAUGUAGAAUGUGUUUAGAAAUUUAAUAAACAACCCCUAAGAUCAUAUGGUUCAUUAUUAGAGCAUUUACCGAAAAAUCAGAAUUUUCGUAGGGGGGGGUUAGCCUAUAGAUUUUGAGAAAAAUUCAAAAAUAUGAAAAUUAUGUUUUAAUGCAUAGUUGCAUCCUUCACUAACAUAUGAUGAAGGUCAAAGAGGUUUGAAACUUUUGU